UUGUAGAGUGAAAAUCCAGGCCUGCUCAGUGAAUGUUGCUGUUCUGUGAGGGGCCUUUAGGUGUCACUUCCAUGACAGUAAAGGGAAGCAGGAAGAGGAAAGGAGUCACAUACACAAUCUGCGCUGGGCGUGCUGAUAAUGGAAAAAAAUAAAGAUAAACAUCAGCAAGGAGAAAGCAUCCUACAGGCUGCCGAUCAUGGAUCUAAAGUUG